AACGAACGCUGGCGGCAUGCCUAACACAUGCAAGUCGAACGAGACCUUCGGGUCUAGUGGCGCACGGGUGCGUAACGCGUGGGAACCUGCCCUUAGGUUCGGAAUAACUCCCCGAAAGGGGUGCUAAUACCGGAUAAUGUCUUCGGACCAAAGAUUUAUCGCCUUUGGAUGGGCCCGCGUGGGAUUAGCUAGUUGGUAGGGUAAAAGCCUACCAAGGCGACGAUCCAUAGCUGGUCUGAGAGGAUGAUCAGCCACACUGGGACUGAGACACGGCUCAGACUCCUACGGGAGGCAGCAGUGGGGAAUAUUGGAAAAUGGGCGAAAGCCUGAUCCAGCAAUGCCGCGUGAGUGAUGAAGGCCUUAGGGUUGUAAAGCUCUUUUACCCGGGAUGAUAAUGACAGUACCGGGAGAAUAAGCUCCGGCUAACUCCGUG
rnacentral:rRNA from 1 species